rnacentral:rRNA from 1 species
UCUUGACAUCCAGAGAACUUGGCAGAGAUGCCUCGGUGCCUUCGGGAACUCUGAGACAGGUGCUGCAUGGCUGUCGUCAGCUCGUGUUGUGAAAUGUUGGGUUAAGUCCCGCAACGAGCGCAACCCCCUAUCCUUUGUUGCCAGCGAUUCGGUCGGGAACUCAAAGGAGACUGCCGGUGAUAAACCGGAGGAAGGUGGGGAUGACGUCAAGUCAUCAUGGCCCUUACGAGUAGGGCUACACACGUGCUACAAUGGCGUAUACAAAGAGAAGCGACCUCGCGAGAGCAAGCGGACCUCAUAAAGUACGUCGUAGUCCGGAUUGGAGUCUGCAACUCGACUCCAUGAAGUCGGAAUCGCUAGUAAUCGUAGAUCAGAAUGCUACGGUGAAUACGUUCCCGGGCCUUGUACACACCGCCCGUCACACCAUGGGAGUGGGUUGCAAAAGAAGUAGAUAGCUUAACCUUCGGGAGGGCGUUUACCACUUUGUGAUUCAUGACUGGGGUGAAGUCGUAACAAGGUAAGCGUACGUGU